rnacentral:lncRNA from 1 species
AAUAUAAAUCAACCUUAAGUGGUCUACUAUAUGUAAUAGGAAUGUAAUAUUGGAGAAUAAUGCUAAUUGUGAUUUGAUCUCUUAAAGAUAUCAAUCCUAUAUAAGGUGUCUUAUAUUGGAAAUAGGAUUGAUAGAAUCCUUAAUUGAAUAUGAUUAUGAUAUUUUACUUGAGAGCCAAGAAAGGAGAGUUUUAGUUUUCCCUUAUGGACGGAAUCUAAGACUUUUUGGCUAGUAUAUAAACACCGGUCCCUGCUAACCCUAGACACGAUAACAAAAGCUUUCCAUAGAGCAUUGUCAUAAAGCUAGGAGUUUACAGAAGAGUUGGUGUUUCUGUUUGUCACGGCAAACAUAAAGAUUGGAGUUUUAUCGAUCACGUCUUGCUUGCAUGGAAGCUGCACAUUCGAUAACUACCAUUGGAAUCAGGUCAGUCACUCUUUCGUUUGUGUUUUAAUUGUAUAACCGUAUAAGGCUAACAAUUGGUAUCAGAGCCACUGGUUAUAUAAUUAAAACCUAUUCGGUUUAAUGUUGGAUUAUAUAAUAUUCUCUUGAACUGCGUGUUUAAUCCAAAUUCUCAUUGCAUAUUCUCGGCAACAUAACCAUGCGAUUUGAAUAAGUUCAAUUGUUAAUUAUGAUCAGGUUGCAUAAUUAUUCAGUUUCAAUCAAGAAUAUUUUUCACUAAUAUUAUGGUUGCAGUCAAGGGAAAUUUAUUAAGAACUAUGCUAAUUGAUACCUUGAUUAUUAUCAGCAAGACAAGUUGCCUGAUUAUAGCACGAAUCCAUAAUAUUGUAUGCGGUGUAUUAUAUAUAACCACAUAGCUUUGCUUGCCAAUUGGAAAUUGAACUACGCUUAGAGGUGCUUUUGAUCAAGCAUGAAUUAAAUUAUGGAAUAAGCUUCGAAUCCCAACAGUUUUUUAAACUAUACCUAUUUUAAUUGCAGACAAUAUGGUUUAGUUGAUAGUUUUUGAUCAGGCAUCUUUAUUGCAUAAAAUAUGUUUGGGUCGAACCACCAAAGUCUGGAGAUUGCUAAUAUUUUGAUCAAGCAAGAGCAUGUAAUUUUUAUUUGAUUAGUCAAAUUUGAUUACCACCAAUAGUUCUGAUAAGGGGAUGUUAAAGAAAAUUGAUUAGUUAGUUCAUUGGAUUAACUAUGACUGGAAACCAUGGCAUAUUUCAGAUUUUCUAUUUUAAAGUUGAUGUUUUGGUUGGAAUGUUUAACCAUGUACUACGGAUGUCUUUGUCAAGUUUGUAAGCAUAUGCAAAUACACAUUUACAUUGGAAAAGUGAUGCGGCCUCUCAAUUUAGCAAGCCGACCUCUGCCAAAGCAGAGCAUUGUGUUUCAUCGACUCAAUUCGGAUUUGGGUUUUUGGUGUAAUCUUUUCCCUUGGUCUUAAUUGCUGACAAGAUUUUGUGGUGGAUUUAAAAGGUGAUUUUUUGGUUCUUGCAUAACUUACAUAUGCCGUGACAUCUCCUUAUUACUUGGAAUAUUAUGUUUUUGGUUCCUUGUUUUGGUGGCAUCAAAGAGUUUUCGUGCUAGCAUAACCAACUAAUUAUUCAGAACCCAAUUUUGACUGUAACCUAAUUCUUAGAAUUAAGAAAGAGGCGUAACAGUUCAAAUAUUGCUUGACAUCUUUCGGAAUGUUGGUAACGGAAUUGUUCACUUUUAGAUGUCUCAAUACUAUUAUUGGUAUAUGAUUUGUGCCUAUAUAUAUGAUUGUGGUAACAUAUAUUACAGUUGUGUUGCAGGAAUGCAUAUGCUAAGUUUAUAUAUGUCUAUAUUUGAAAGCAGGUCAAUAUAAAUUUUGGCAAUUUUUGUUAUUGCAUCUAUAGCAUCACGGAUAUGUUUCAAAGAUGUGUAAGGUGACACAAUGUCUUCCAUGACCGUAGCAUAUGAUAAAUUGUAACUAAUUUGCUUGAACCAAAAUUUUAAUAUUGUUAAGCAAAUGGCAUGUAUAGUGUUGCUUGUAUGGCUAAUUUGGUUCAAGCAUGAGAUAACAUAUUUUUAAUAUUGCCAUGGGUUUUGGACUAUAGUGAAUUGUAGUGUUGUUUUCGCUAAUUUUUACGAGAUGUGAAUGAACUUUUAUGCCAUUAAUAGCACAAGAAAUAUGCAUGACUAAUCAAUCAAGUUUGUCUACAAUUUGCUUUCUUAUCUCAAAAGUCAUUUAAAUUAUACAUGACUAGUUACUUGUGAAAAAUUGAUGUAUAAUUUUUGAAUUGACUGAGAAUGACAGAAAGCAUCCAGUGACAAGAACAAUGGUAUUAUACAAAUGAAUAAGGUUUGUAGAAAUUAUGUGACAAUUCUCAUUUGUAUUUUUAUCUAUUCUUAUAUGAGAAUUUUGGUUGGUCAUGUGAUUAUACAUAUGUUUACAAAGAAGUGAUGAACAUAUGAAGGCAUGAGGUAUGUAAUCCAUUCAAAGUAUGUGGCUUAAUUGAUAAGCAUGAAUUUUCAAACAUGUAUUAUUGUUUGUGGUUUUUCCUAUGCCUAAAGAAUUUAAACAGUGCUUUGAUUAGUAAUUUUUAUAUGUCAUAAGGGGAGAAGAAAAGAAACUUUUCAAGGCUAAUGUAGGGCAUAUAUUGGAAAUGUUUUCUAUGGAAGAAAAUAAUUUUGGUAGUUCCUUUAUUUAAUUGGUAUUUACAAGGCUAAUGCAUAAUUUUGAUGCUAAUGUUUUAGGAGCCUUGUACUACGCAAAGAAAGGUACAAAAGAAAAGGAACCCGUUUGACUUAAGAAAACAUUUGAGCAAUUUAUUUUUUAAAUUAAAGGAAUGUAUUGUUCUUUCCCAUUACAUAAAGUAUUUCUAUUAAGUAAUUGACUCCAUAAUGAUAAGUAUUGACAUUCUUGUGGUGGAAUAAAACUUGUUCUAUAUGUGAUUAAUCUCUUUCAAGUAUGCUGUCAGGUUUUGAGAUUAAUUUAAUGUCAAAGGGAGUCAUGAAGAAAUUAGUGCCAUUUGUUGGCUAGACUUGAAGCUCGAAUCAGGUUAUCAUAAUUUUGUCACUUACAGUUAAUUAAUUCAUGUGACAUCUUGUAUUGUUUCAGGGCGGAGUUGACCAAUACCUUUUCAACUAAGGAAGACACAAUGGCUUAGUUCACGAUGGGACUGUGUUUUUUGAGUUACUUCGGUCAACUUUGCAUCUUAAUUAAAAUAAAAGGGAUAAUCUUCUUGCCUACAGGUGUGGAUUACUUCUUUUAGUUUAAUUAAGAUGGCAUAGUAUGGGUUUUAUUUCACAGAAGUUGUGAAAACCUUCAUCUUGCCUACAGGUGUUGAAGUUUUUCAUGAAGGAACUUUUGUGACAUAAAAUCUAGUACUAGAAACUAGUUAUUUUUCUUGCCUACAGGUGUAAAUUAAUUUAGUUUCAUGAAGUAUUGGGAUAAAGUUCCAUGCCAUUAGUGACAAAUAUUUCCACAAUGAGCCCCAUAAAAGGUUGUGGUUUGAAGGCAUGGAAAUCGGUUGCAUCAUGACGUAUUUUGUGUCUCUUCAUGAGACUUGUUGAUGCAACGUAUUGGACCCAUAAAGGUUAAUCAAGGAUUGCUAAGGUACGCAUUGUUUAAGUCUUUAUGCUUGAAAAUCUUUUCAAUUUGAACUAUGAUGUCGGUUUAGAGGAUGAAAUUUGACUACUAAAGUUUCCUUUGGACAUCGAAAUUGAAAUGAUAUGAAAUUGAAUUUGUUAUGGAUGCAUAAAUUCAUGAUAGAAGCACAUAAUUGUUUUUGGCAGAUUACGUGUCUUGAUUUAAAUCGGAUGAAUGACAUGUCUAAUGGUCACCAAAUGACCUGAAUUUUGGAUAUGUUUAACAUAUAGAUGUCUAAUAUGUGUCUGCAAAUUUUCGUAAUUUUCUGCCAUGUAUGUUAAUUAUGGUGAAUUUACUAGUAACCCAUGCUCGUAUAAACAGUUUUUACUGGCAGAUUGUGAUGUUUUUGAGACGUGACUUUAGACUACUAUUUUGACCCAAAAUGACUCUGUAUUUCUAUUUUAUGAAGAUUAGUAUGUCUAUUUUUGAUCAGUAUAAAUUUGGUAGCAAUCAAGCUUGUAAAUUAAUUAUGAUCAAUUCUAAAGUAAGUGUAACUCAUUGCUGAAAUUCUGUUUGACAACUUUAUGUUGGUUGUGAUGUCUAUUUUAUUAUGUCUAAUAUAUAAAGACAUUUUCUUUAGGUACAUCUUUAAAAGAAUAUAUUAACGAGUGUUUGCCCAAGUGGGAGAAUUAGUGAACGAAAAUUGGGCUUCACACUCAUUAAACUUAUUUGCAAGUAUAAACUCUGAAAACUUAGUGGGAGUUGUUCUAAAAUUUUGAGCAUUAAGUGGAUUUUCAUGAAUCUAUUAAAGCGUUAUUCUAUCUUCCAUGGAUUUGUGUUACUUGAAUGUCUAUAAUAUGUUUAAGUUGCACAAAUGGAUACUUGAUAUAUGCGUACAUUUUUCUGUUAUUUGCAAUCAUUUGGAUUUCUUGGUUGAUCAUUGUUUUGAGGCUCAUAAAGACUUAGCAUAAAUAUGGACUUAUUAAUACAUAUAAGAUGGUUGUUGGAUGCAAGUUUUAUGUAACAGUGGUGAAUGCUUUCGUGCUUAGUUGUACCUUUUAUUGAGGUAAUAUGCAUUCAUUGACUGAGUAAGGCUAUUCCCAAAGGCAUAUUUUCAAAAAUAUGAUUUAAGUAUUGAUUUGCAAAUUAAGUGACGAUGUUGCAGAUCAGUGGGAGUAUUAGUUUCGUGUUAGUAAUGUCUUACAUUUGCUGAUGACCUAUAAAGUAUGUAUAGAAUCCAUGUAUUCAUAUUAAUCUCCAGUUGGAUUCAUUAAGUCACAUUUUUGUGUGCUAGUCAAUCAUCUGAUGAAAUAUAUAUCAGAUUUCAAGUUGUUAUCAAAUUGCAUAUUAAAUGUCAUGGCAUGGUUUGUGCACUACCUCAGUUGUAAGGAUUUCCAUCUUGCCCGCAGGUGUUGGAAAUCAUUAUGAAAGUAACUGGUAUAGUGCAUAGAUCAGUGUCAAAAACAUAUUAAUUCAUCUUGCUCACAAGUGUUGAAUUAAUUUGUUUUAUGAAGUUUUUGGGAUAUUUUACUUGGACAUGUGCCUAUUUGGUAUUUUCAGUUGUGUCCGUUGGUUACAAACAUUGUUUGUAUUGUUACUGAUCUAAUGAAGGUGAUGCAUGAUUAUUUUGGAGAUGUAUUCACACCUACAGGUUAUGGUGGUUUCAUUAGAUGAAGGAUAUCUGCAUUGGCAGAUUUAAGGCUUCGAAGAAGCAUAAAGUGUAACUUGUGAGUUACAAUAAGGUGGACCUGAGAUGAUAUAAAGUAAGACAUUUUAGUUAAUUUAAAGUUUAUUUAAAGUUUCAUCUCUUGAUCAUAAUUUGUGUUUCAUGUGAAUGAGGAUCUUAGCAUGUGUGAUUAUGAAGGUUCUGGGUUGUGUCAAUCCUACAACCUUGUUAGUUCCAUGUUAAGAAAUGCAUUUGACAGAAGCUGCAUUAAGGACGAGAUGUAAUCACUGUUACAUGGCCACUAAAGUGACAUUAGUCUCCAAUCUCAAGUAUAAACGUGAAUAUUACAUUUUGUAGACCAAGUGGGAGAAUGUUGGAUUUAUCCAAUAUAAAUCAACCUUAAGUGGUCUACUAUAUGUAAUAGGAAUGUAAUAUUGGAGAAUAAUGCUAAUUGUGAUUUGAUCUCUUAAAGAUAUCAAUCCUAUAUAAGGUGUCUUAUAUUGGAAAUAGGAUUGAUAGAAUCCUUAAUUGAAUAUGAUUAUGAUAUUUUACUUGAGAGCCAAGAAAGGAGAGUUUUAGUUUUCCCUUAUGGACGGAAUCUAAGACUUUUUGGCUAGUAUAUAAACACCGGUCCCUGCUAACCCUAGACACG